rnacentral:rRNA from 1 species
ACGCUGGCGGGCACGCCUAACACAUGCAAGUCGAACGAAGUAGCAAUACUUAGUGGCAGACGGGUGAGUAACAUGUGGGUAUCUGCCCUUUGGCCUGGAAUAACACGAGGAAACUUGUGCUAAUACCGGAUAAGUCUUUACGGAGAAAGCUUUAUGCACCAUUGGAUGAGCCCGCACUUGAUUAGUUUGUUGGUAGGGUAAUGGCCUACCAAGACUAUGAUCAAUAGCUGAUUUGAGAGGAUGAUCAGCCACAUUGGGACUGAGACACGGCCCAAACUCCUACGGGAGGCAGCAGUGGGGAAUCUUGCACAAUGGAGGAAACUCUGAUGCAGCGAUGCCGCGUGAGUGAAGAAGGCCCUUGGGUUGUAAAGCUCUUUCGUCGGGGAAGAAAAUGACUGUACCCGAAUAAGAAGGUCCGGCUAACUUCGUGCCAGCAGCCGCGGGUAAUACGAAGGGACCUAGCGUAGUUCGGAAUUACUGGGCUUAAAGAGUUCGUAGGUGGUUGAAAAAGUUAGUGGUGAAAUCCCAGAGCUUAACUCUGGAACUGCCAUUAAAACUUUUCAGCUAGAGUAUGAUAGAGGAAAGCAGAAUUUCUAGUGUAGAGGGUGAAAUUCGUAGAUAUUAGAAAAGAAUACCAAUUGCGAAAGGCAGCUUUUCUGGAUCAUUACUGACACUGAGGAACGAAAAGCAUGGGUAGCGAAGAGGAUUAGAUACCCUCGUAGUCCCAUGCCGUAAACGAUGUGUGUUAGACGUUGGAAAUUUAUUUUCAGUGUCGCAGGGAAACCGAUAAACACACCGCCUGGGGAGUACGACCGCAAGGUUAAAACUCAAAUGAAUUGACGGGGACCCGCACAAGUAGUGGAGCAUGUGGUUUAAUUCGAAGAUACGCGCAGAACCUUACCAACACUUGACAUGUUCGUCGCGACUCUAAGAGAUUAGAGUUUUCGGUUCGGCCGGACGAAACACAGGUGCUGCAUGGCUGUCGUCAGCUCGUGUCGUGAGAUGUUGGGUUAAGUCCCGCAACGAGCGCAACCCUCACUUUUAGUUGCCAUCAUUAAGUUGGGCACUCUGAAAGAACUGCCAGUGAUAAGCUGGAGGAAGGUGGGGAUGACGUCAAGUCCUCAUGGCCCUUACGUGUUGGGCUACACACGUGCUACAAUGGUAUCUACAACAGGAAGCAAGACGGCGACGUCAAGCAAAUCCCUAAAAGAUACCUCAGUUCGGAUUGCACUCUGCAACUCGAGUGCAUGAAGCUGGAAUUACUAGUAAUCGUGGAUCAGCGUGCCACGGUGAAUGCGUUCCCGGGUCUUGUACACACCGCCCG